AUUGAACGCUGGCGGCAUGCUUUACACAUGCAAGUCGAACGGUAACAGGCCGCAAGGUGCUGACGAGUGGCGAACGGGUGAGUAAUGCAUCGGAACGUGCCCAGUCGUGGGGGAUAACGCAGCGAAAGCUGUGCUAAUACCGCAUACGAUCUGUGGAUGAAAGCGGGGGACCGAAAGGCCUCGCGCGAUUGGAGCGGCCGAUGUCAGAUUAGGUAGUUGGUGGGGUAAAGGCUCACCAAGCCAACGAUCUGUAGCUGGUCUGAGAGGACGACCAGCCACACUGGGACUGAGACACGGCCCAGACUCCUACGGGAGUCAGCAGUGGGGAAUUUUGGACAAUGGGCGCAAGCCUGAUCCAGCAAUGCCGCGUGCAGGAAGAAGGCCUUCGGGUUGUAAACUGCUUUUGUACGGAGCGAAAAGGCUCUCUCUAAUACAGGGGGCUCAUGACGGUACCGUAAGAAUAAGCACAGGCUAACUACGUGCCAGCCGCCGCAGUAAUAC
rnacentral:rRNA from 1 species